UACGGGGGGGGGCAAGCGUUGUUCGGAAUUACUGGGCGUAAAGGGCUCGUAGGCGGCCAACUAAGUCAGACGUGAAAUCCCUCGGCUUAACCGGGGAACUGCAUCUGAUACUGGAUGGCUUGAGUUUGGGAGAGGGAUGCGGAAUUCCAGGUGUAGCGGUGAAAUGCGUAGAUAUCUGGAGGAACACCGGUGGCGAAGGCGGCAUCCUGGACCAACACUGACGCUGAGGAGCGAAAAGCCAGGGGAGCAAACGGG
rnacentral:rRNA from 1 species